rnacentral:rRNA from 1 species
CCUACGGGGGGCUGCAGUGGGGAAUUUUCCGCAAUGGGCGAAAGCCUGACGGAGCAAGACCGCGUGAGGGAAGAAGGUCUGUGGAUUGUAAACCUCUUUUGAUUGGGAAGAAGAACUGACGGUACCAAUCGAAUCAGCCUCGGCUAACUCCGUGCCAGCAGCCGCGGUAAUACGGAGGAGGCAAGCGUUAUCCGGAAUUAUUGGGCGUAAAGCGUCCGUAGGUGGUUUGUCAAGUCUUCUGUCAAAGCGCGGAGCUUAACUCCGUAAAGGCAGAG